rnacentral:rRNA from 1 species
UACGUAGGGAGCAAGCGUUGUCCGGAAUCAUUGGGCGUAAAGCGCGCGUAGGUGGCCCGGUAAGUCCGCUCUGAAAGUCAAAGGCUCAACCUUUGAAAGCGGGUGGAUACUGCCGGGCUAGAGUCCGGAAGAGGCGAGUGGAAUUCCCGGUGUAGCGGUGAAAUGCGCAGAUAUCAGGAGGAACACCAAUGGCGAAGGCAGCUCGCUGGAACGGUACUGACGCUGAGGCGCGAAAGCGUGGGGAGCAAACAGG